ensembl:lncRNA
CAGCUUAAAUCCACUUGAUGCGGCCAGUUUCCUCCAAUUCAUGGCUGUGUGAAAUCUCUGUCUCUGCAAGUUCAUUCUUUGCCCAGUGAAGUCAUUAGGAAGCCUUAGUUUGACUUUGGGAUGGAACUUUGUUCUCCUUGUGGGGUAGCUGAGCACUGAUGAUUCCUGGGCUGAGCAGUGAGUUGGAAGUGACCAGGAAGCUGCUCUCAACUGUGGAUGUUCUGGAGUUGAGCAGAUACAGAAAGCCGACGCUGUGUCAAUGGACAAACUUCUSCAGUUCA